UCGAGAAUCUUUCGCAAUGCCCGAAAGGGUGACGAAGCGACGCCGCGUGUGGGAAGAAGGCCUUCGGGUUGUAAACCACUGUCGGGAGUUAGGAAAUGCAGGUGCGUUAAUAGCGCACUUGCUUGACUAAGGCUCCAGAGGAAGCCACGGCUAACUCUGUGCCAGCAGCCGCGGUAAUACAGAGGCGGCAAGCGUUGUUCGGAAUUAUUGGGCGUAAAGAGCACGUAGGCGGCCUUGCAAGUCAGUUGUGAAAGCCUUCCGCUUAACGGAAGAACGGCAUCUGAUACUACAGGGCUUGAGUACGGGAGGGGAGAGUGGAACUUCUGGUGGAGCGGUGAAAUGCGUAGAUAUCAGAAGGAACGCCGGCGGCGAAAGCGACUCUCUGGUCCGAAACUGACGCUGAGUGUGCGAAAGCUAGGGGAGCAAACGGGAUUAGAAACCCCGGUAG
rnacentral:rRNA from 1 species